CAACAGCAAAGUAUGAACGUUCCGCUCGAGUCUUUGUUUCCUGUCGGACAUGUUAAGUGGCAGACAUGCAGCAACAAUGGUAGCAAUCCCAGUAAUCUUCAUCAUGAACCUUACUCAAAUGUGAAUGAAAAGAAAAAAGAAAGUGAUGAGCAGUGAGAAAAACAAGUACGAAGUACGAUGGAGGUCUUUGGAUUCACUGGAACUACCGCAGGUAACGAGAAGGGCGACACGGCAGUGUGGCUGGAUCAAAAGAGACGUCGGAGACGCUUUACUGAACCAAAAGUUGCUUUCUUACAAGCGAGCGCCAUUAUACAGGACUGCAGUUCCCUGGAGGAGGUCAGGUCAAGAAAAUGAGGCACUCCUAAUUGGAGAAGCCAAACCAUCAGUUUUUAUAUUACUCCUUCCUGUCUGUUUGUGUGUGUGCUAAGUCAGGAGAGCACAUCCUGACCAUAAAAGGAGAUGUCCGUGUGUAAGUGUCUGGAAAACAACUGCUUUAAGUCAUAACUUAAAUGUUGGCGUUGAGCUAAACAGAUAGUCUUUUCUCAAGGAUAUGGUUAUCACUUUUGCAGUCCGAAGUCCCAAUUAGGGCCUCUUUCCUCCGAGAAGUGAUCCAAUCCACCUGCGAAUAUCAAACUAAGGGGCCUUAUCUAUUUAUGUGCUCAAACUGAAAUACCACUAUUUACUUAAACUUGGUGGUUUGCUUUCUCCAAGGUAAAUAUAAACAUUCACC